AUUGAACGCUGGCGGCAGGCCUAACACAUGCAAGUCGAGCGGGGUUUUCGGACCUAGCGGCGGACGGGUGAGUAAUGCGUAGGAAGCUACCCGAUAGAGGGGGAUACCAGUUGGAAACGACUGUUAAUACCGCAUAAUGUCUACGGACCAAAGUGUGGGACCUUCGGGCCACAUGCUAUCGGAUGCGCCUACGUGGGAUUAGCUAGUUGGUGGGGUAAUGGCUCACCAAGGCGACGAUCCCUAGCUGGUUUGAGAGGAUGAUCAGCCAAACUGGAACGGAGACACGGUCCAGACGCCUACGGGAGGCAGCAGUGGGGAAUAUUGGACAAUGGGCGCAAGCCUGAUCCAGCCAUGCCGCGUGUGUGAAGAAGGCCUUCGGGUUGUAAGGCACUUUCAGUAGGGAGGAAGGGUUAAGUGUUAAUAGUACUUAACUUUGACGUUACCUACAGAAGAAGCACCGGCUAACUCUGUGCCAGCAGCCGCCGUAACAC
rnacentral:rRNA from 1 species